rnacentral:piRNA from 1 species
UGGAUUUGGUCCUCUGUCUGAUUCCUC